rnacentral:rRNA from 1 species
AGAAUCAACGCUGGCGGCGUGCCUAACACAUGCAAGUCGCACGAGAAAGGGUAGCAAUACCUGAGUACAGUGGCGCACGGGUGAGUAACACGUGAAUAAUCUACCUCCGAGUGGGGAAUAACUGAGAGAAAUCUUAGCUAAUACCGCAUAAUACCCACGGGUCAAAGCAGCAAUGCGCUUGGAGAGGAGUUCGCGGCAGAUUAGUUAGUUGGCGGGGUAAUGGCCCACCAAGACGAUGAUCUGUAUCCGGCCUGAGAGGGCGCACGGACACACUGGAACUGAAACACGGUCCAGACUCCUACGGGAGGCAGCAGUGGGGAAUUUUUGCGCAAUGGGGGAAACCCUGACGCAGCAACGCCGCGUGGAGGAUGAAGCCCCUUGGGGUGUAAACUCCUUUCGAUCGGGAAGAUAAUGACGGUACCGAUAUAAGAAGCCCCGGCUAACUUCGUGCCAGCAGCCGC